GAUGAACGCUGGCGGCGUGCCUAAUACAUGCCAGUCGAGCGAACAGACGAGAGUGCUUGCACUCUCUGACGUUAGCGGCGGACGGGUGAGUAACACGUGGGUAACCUACCUAUAAGACUGGGAUAACUUCGGGAAACCGGAGCUAAUACCGGAUAAUAUUUAGCUUCGCAUGAAGCAAUAGUGAAAGACGGUUCUGCUGUCACUUAUAGAUGGACCCGCGGUGUAUUAGCUAGUUGGUGAGGUAACGGCUCACCAAGGCAACGAUACAUAGCCGACCUGAGAGGGUGAUCGGCCACACUGGGACUGAGACACGGCCCAGACUCCUACGGGAGGCAGCAGUAGGGAAUCUUCCGCAAUGGACGAAAGUCUGACGGAGCAAUGCCGCGUGAGUGAAGAAGGUUUUCGGAUCGUAAAACUCUGUUGUAAGGGAGGAACAAGUACGUUAGUAACUGAACGUACCUUGACGGUACCUUACCAGAAAGCCACGGCUAACUACGUG
rnacentral:rRNA from 1 species